AAAAUCAAAGGGGGUCUUAUAAUUCUGACUUCAACUGUGGGUACUUUAACACAUUGUAUGUGGUCACUGCAAAGGUUUUGGUCCUUGGCGCUGGGGGAAAUGAAAAAAAGAUCAUGCCGUUGGAUUUUAACCCAGUUUCAUUGAUUUUGGGUAUUCCUAAUGGAUGCAUUUUUUUAUCAGCUAAUAAGAAAUUGUAUAAAAUAUUAACAUUUGCUGCCAGAAAAAAAUAAUUUACUUAAUUGCAUUGGAUUAGUGAUAAAUCUCCAUCACUUAAAGGUUGGCACUAGAUCAUUAAUUCCUCUAGAACAUCUCACUCAUGUUUUACACAAAAAACUGAACAUUUUUUCAAAGUUUGGACUCCAUAUUUGAAGUAUUACUGGUCUUUGCCCUAUUAUGCUAAAAUAAAUAUUGACACUGUAUUGUUAUCUGGAAAAUAAGCAUUGUUAUUGUCCUUUUUUCUGAUCUGUUCAUUGUGUAGUCCUGUUUUAUGUGUAAUCUUUCUUUUCUCUACAUUGUUUUCUGUUGUUAUUUUUCUUUGCGUAUCUUGUGAAGAUGUUUUUGUUAAGUCUGUAUUGUUGUGAAAAUCCAAUAAGCAUAUUUCUAUAAAGCAGAAAGAGGUUUGUUCGUCCACAUUUGACUCAAAUUCAGGUUGAAGCAACUCAACAUAUUUGUUUAGAGUGUAAGAUGUGAUUAAAACAUCCGUUUGUUGUUUUGUCUUUUGUAGAGAUUUUAUUUGUGUACAUUUUACAUUUGAUUUAACUGGUCAUGUUUAAGAUGCAGGAAAUGCACAUUUUAAAAAAAACCAAAAAAAAAGGAAUAGUAGGAUGAAAAACAAAACUCCAACGCCAUCAUUUACCAAUGAAACUGAAGUGUUUUACUGCAGAAUGUGUUGUUUUUCUUGCAGAUGGUUAUUUAUAUCAUUUCUGUUAGUCUGUACGGCUAAUGCAUGAUAUUCUUUUUGCUCAAAUAGUCUUUGUCUAACGAAAAUCCUCGCUUUUUUUCAUAUUCACACGCAGACUUCUAAAUGACCAUGUUGUGUGGGAAUACACAUGCACCGCCGCCAUUUUGGCUCCAACAACAUCGACACGCCAUUUACUCUUCGAGUUCUCUGUGGUGUUUGUUUGACUUUAAGGAGUUGCAUAAAGAAUAUUGUGUUCGGCGAAAAGCAGCGGUCAGGAAACUGGAACAAAACCCAGCCGAGAGCUUGAACUGUACCUUUAAAGCAAACAAACUAACGCUUGAGGGAAGGCUUUGACCUACAAAUGAAUCUCGUGUUGUUUAGUUUGAAGUGUAGACUUUACUGUCUCGCAUACUUGUUUAGCAGAGAGUUCUGCUGCAGUUCCACUCGUUCUUUCUUUCUUUCUUUUUUCUGUUGGGAUUAUCCGAGAGAGAGUGUGUGUGUGUGUGAGAAAACACACUGAGUCUGCGCGCUGGGGGAGGAGUAUCUAUGUCACACUCCUCUCUCUCUCUCUCUCUCUCUCUCUCUUUUUCUCCUCCCGCUCUGGACUUGCUGUUUUUCCGCCCUCCUACUUCUCUCUCUCUCUCUUUAUUUGUCUCUCUCUCUCUCUCUCUCUCUCAAGUGCAAGGCCAUGUGGGACGUCUGAUGAGGAGUUUCACCCCUCUACGUCUCCAGUUUCAUAUCUCUCUUUCCCUCUCCAGCGCUCUUUCGCUUUCCGUACGGCUUCCUCCAGCUCCUGUUGUCUUUGGACUGUACGUAAGGUGGAGACCCGCCGGAUAGUAGUUUUUAAAGGGAAAACAGACUAAAGAAAUGUUUCAAAAUUUGCCACGAGGGCCUCCCGACUACAAACCUGCCAAAAGCGCUUCAGUCCUCCAGCACAUUUCUGCUCCUCGUGCACCCGAUUGCAGACUUUUAGCAGUCUGCAGUUGAUUCCGCGCCGUAUUUUCCGAUUUCGGUGAAUUUCCAGCGAAUCCAGGUUCAUUUACAGCCCACGCCGGCGCACCGCCAGGCCCGAAUCGCUUUGGAAGUACCGACCAGCGACUUACCCGUUCCCGAUCCUGUCGGACAGAGGGAUUCAGGCGUGAAGCUUCUCCCUCCAGGACAGGUGGUGCCUGCUUAUAAACGGUGACCCCAGAAAAACGAUGAAGCAUGGAUAGCUGCGUCUGUAUUGCAGGAAAAAAAGUCAAGACACUGUAAAAGAGGAGGCGGAGGUGGGGGCCGCUUAUUCUCCCCGCUCGAUGCUUUUCGGGCCUUUGAGAGCCGAUCGCAUGUGCUGUGGAAACCACAGGACUAUUUGCAUGCAGCAGACACGCUAAUUGUGUGUUUGCUAACAUGCACCAUUCAGCAAGACGUGCUUCGGUCUGCAGACGGGGUUCACACACGCCUCCCAGACGCCCCAGAGGCCUCCUAUUGUUCCAGAGGCCCAGCCGAGCAGCCGGCGAGCCGACCCGGAGAGGGGGAACUGGAAUUCGAGAGCGGGAUAGCGGAACGGGACGGGAGCUGCAGACUCUGUCUGUGUCUUUCUGUCCACGGCAAGAAAUCGAGGCCUGUGGAAAUGUCCGGACGCUCACUGCCUCGCAGACAUGUAAGUGAAGAUGAAAUGGACAAACCAAGAUGCAUCUGUGCACAGACAGAUGAGCUGACGAUGUGCUGCUGAUCGGGCCAGAAGUGUGUGUGUGUGUGUGUGUGUGUGUGUGUGUGUGUGUGUGUGUGUGUGUGCGUGCGUGUGUGUGUGUGUGAGUGAGUGUGUGUGAAUGUGAGUGUGUGUGAUCAGGUGCUGCUGCUGGCACAGGUCUGUGUUCUGCCUUAAUAACAGGAUGCAGCUGCUCUCUCCCUCACACACACACACACACACACACACACACACACACACACACACACACACACACUCUCUUAGCAUGUUCCAAAUGGGAUAUAUCACCCUCCAAAGGGCUCAAAACUGGCUCCUUUGAAGGGCCCUUCGAAAUGAGGGAUCUUGAAGGGUAAAACUUCAGGUACCCAUGAUCCUUUGCACAGGGAAUUUGUCUUUUGUCACACAGAAUGACCACUGAAGUCUGCUUUCCCUGUAAAUGUGCUGUAUGUAUAAUCCUGUUCUAUCGGCGACUGCUCUAAUACUUAUAAAUGCAUUGAAAACAAAAGAAAAUCAAUUUAAAAUGAAAAGUUAAAAUAAAAUAAGUUAAUAUCAUGGAUAUAGAAAUGCUCAGUGGUUAGCGCUGUCGCCUCACAGCAAGAAGGUCACUGGUUCGAGCCCUGGCUGAGUUGGUGUUUCUGUGUGGAGUUUGCUUGUUUUCCCCGUGUUUGGAUGGGUGUAAAUAUACGCGUUAUAGGGGAACUGAAUAAGCUAAAUUGGCCGUAGUGUAUGGGUGUGUGUAAAUGUCAGUAUGUAUGGAUGUU